AACGAACGCUGGCGGCAUGCCUAACACAUGCGAGUCGAACGAGACCUUCGGAUCUAGUGGCGCACGGGUGCGUAACGCGUGGGAACCUGCCCUUAGGUUCGGAAUAACUCCCCGAAAGGGGUGCUAAUACCGGAUAAUGUCUUCGGACCAAAGAUUUAUCGCCUUUGGAUGGGCCCGCGUUGGAUUAGCUAGUUGGUAGGGUAAAAGCCUACCAAGGCGACGAUCCAUAGCUGGUCUGAGAGGAUGAUCAGCCACACUGGGACUGAGACACGGCCCAGACUCCUACGGGAGGCAGCAGUGGGGAAUAUUGGACAAUGGGCGAAAGCCUGAUCCAGCAAUGCCGCGUGAGUGAUGAAGGCCUUAGGGUUGUAAAGCUCUUUUACCCGGGAUGAUAAUGACAGUACCGGGAGAAUAAGCUCCGGCUAACUCCGUG
rnacentral:rRNA from 1 species